CUCUGGAAUUCCAGUUCCCAGCCAGGAAAAGUUGUUCCUUCUCAUCCUAGUUUUGUUUCUCCAGCCAAGGCACCCAUUUAUGCCACAGCUUUAGCAUCCCGAUCCUGGUUCCCAUUCCUGUUCCCAAUCGCUAUCUCAUUUCCGUUCCCAUUCUCAAACUUUUUCCUGUUCCCCUUCCCGAUCCCAUUCCCAUUCCCAAUCCUGUGCCUAAUCCCAAUCCCAUUCCUGUUCCAAAUCCCUACCUCAUUCCCAAUCCCUGUCUCCUUCCCAUUCCCAAUGCUUUUUCUGUUCCCAUUCCCAAUCUUGUUCGCAUUUCUGAUCCCAAUUUCAUUCCCAAUCUCGAUCCCUUUCCCAAUUCCAAUCCCUUUCACAUUCCCAAUCCCUAUUUCAUUCCCAUUCCCGAUCCUGCUCCUAUUCCCAAUCCCAAUCCUUAUCCUGCUCCCAUUCCCAAUCCCAAUCCCAAUCUCAUUCUCGUUUCUGAUCCCUCAUUCCCAAUCUUGUUCCCAAUCCCAAUCCCAAUCCCAAUCCCAAUCCCAAUCCCAAUCCCAAUCCCAAACCUGUUUCCAAUUCCUAUUUCACUCCUGUUCCCAAUCCCAAUUCCUAUCCCAUUUCCAAUCCUGAUCCCGUUCCCAAUCCCAAUCCUGCCACUGUUUUUAGGGAAUUGUUUUGAUCUCAACGGCCACCCCAAACCUGGGGGGGGUCAAAAUCCCCCAAAUCAUGAGGUCUAACAGCCCCAAACCCCAAAUUUUGGGGUCAAAACCCCCCAAUCCCCAAAAGUUGGGGCUUGAAAUAUUCGUGGUGUCCAACCCCUCUGAUCCCACAAUUUGAGGUUAAAGACCCCUGAUCCCCAAAUUCUGGGGUCAAAACUCCCCAAAACCCAAACCCUGGGGUGUCAAUACCCCCAAAUCUCAAAUUUUAAGAUCACCCACCCCCCCUCAAUUCUCAAACUCUGGGGUUAAACCCCCCAAAUCCCCAUAAUUUGGUGUCAAACCCCCCCAAAUCCCAAACUUUAGGACCAACCCCCCCUGAGGUAUAAAACACCCUUGACACCAAAUUUUAGGAUCAAACCCCCUCAGACUCCAAACUUGGGGUGUCAAACCCAGUUCCCAAACUCUGGGGUUUGAAAUAUCUGGGGUGACCAAUCCCCUUAUCCCAAAAUUCUGGGGUCAAACCCACCUGAUCCCAAACUCCACCUCAAAACCACUCCGGCCCUGGGGGGCACAGUGGGGUUCUUUGGGGUUGAUUUGGGAUUGAUUUGGGGUGGGGGCAUCUCCAGGUGCAACGUCUGCAGAGAGACCGUGGGUACAAUGCUGGGGGUUGGAAAAACCCCAAAAACCACCUGGGAACCCCAAAAAAGGGAUUUGGUGCGGGAAAAGGGAUUUGGGGUUGGUUUGGGAUUUAUUUGGGGUGGGGCAGCUCCAGGUGCAAUAUCUGCAGAAACCCUGGGAAAACAAUGCUGGGAAAAACCCAAAAAUCCCCUGGGGAACCCUAAAAAGGGGAUUUACAGUGGGAAAAGGAGAUUUGGGAUGGAAAAAUUAGAUUUUGGGAUGGAAAAGGAGAUUUAGAGGAGGAAAAAUGGGUUUAGGGUGGGGAUUGAGGAUUUGAGGUCAGGGUUUCGGUGGGAAAACAGGAUUUGCGAUUGAAAAAAGGAGAUUUUGGGUGGGAAAAGGGGACUUUGGGCGGACAGGAAAGGAUGUGGGGUGGAAAAAAGGGGAUUUGGGGUGGGAAAAGGAGAUUUUGGGGUGGGAAAAGGAGAUUUGGGAUGCUCAAAAGAUUUGGGGUGCGAAAAGGAGAAUUUGAGAUGGGAAAAUGAGAAUUUGAGGUCUGAAAAGGACAUUUGGGGUGCACAAAGAAGGAAUUUGGGGUUGGAAAAAGGAGGAUUUGGGAUUUAAAAAAAGAUUUGGGAUAAAAAAGGAGGAUUUGGCCCAGGCUGAACUUACCUGGGGGAGUGGGGGCAGCUGGGAGGUUUGGGGCAGGGUCAGGACCAUUUCUGGGGCAGUUUUCUGGGAUUUUUGGUGGUUUGGGCUGGUUUUGAGCAAUUUUGGAAUAUUUGGGGGCAGCUUUGAGGCAUUUUGGGGUGGCUUGGAGGGAUUGUAGGGUGCUUCUAUGGGAUUUUGGGGAGUUUCUAGUAGAUUUUGUGGCAGCCUGAAAGGAUUUGGGGUGUGUCAGGGCAGUUUUGGGGUACUGAGGGGCGGUUUUGAGGCAUUUCACUGGAA
ensembl:lncRNA